AAAGAUAUAUUUAGAGCCUAAAACACCUAAUUUUGCUAAAGGUUCAUAAUUAAUACACACAUGAAUCUAGACAUUUAUGAACCUAGAUAUCUAUGAAACUUUAAAUGACCUAAGAAAACAAGAACAUAAUUUAAUUAUCUAGAAAAUAACCUAGGAAAACAUGAUAUUAAAUGACCUAAGAAAACAUGAAAAAAAUUAAUUAUAUAGGAAAUGACCUAGGAAGACAUGAGCAAAAUUUAAUUAUAAGGAAAUAACUUAGGAAAACAUGGUAUU
rnacentral:lncRNA from 1 species